GCAUAUCAAUAAGCGCAGGAAAAGAAACCAACAGGGAUUGCCUCAGUAACGGCGAAGUGAAGCGGCAACAGCUCAAAUUUGAAAUCUGGCCUCUCGGGGUCCGWAGUUGUAAUUUGUAGAGGAUGUUUCGGGUACCGCCUCGGUCUAAAUUUCUUGGAACAGAAUGUCAAAGAGGGUGAGAAUCCCGUCUUGGACCGGUGGUAGGGCCUAUGUGAAACUCCUUCGACGAGUCGAGUUGUUUGGGAAUGCAGCUCAAAAUGGGUGGUAAAUUUCAUCUAAAGCUAAAUAUUGGCCAGAGACCGAUAGCGCACAAGUAGAGUGAUCGAAAGAUGAAAAGCACUUUGAAAAGAGAGUUAAACAGUAUGUGAAAUUGUUGAAAGGGAAGCGCUUGCAACCAGACUUGAGCGCGGCGGUUCCCCCUUGCUUCUGCUUGGGUUACUCCGCCGUGUCCAGGCCAACAUCGGUUCUGGGGGUCGGUCAAAGGCCUUGGGAAUGUAUCUACCCACGGGUAGACUUAUAGACCAGGGUGUCAUGCGACCUCCCGGGACCGAGGAACGCGCUUCGGCUCGGAUGUUGGCGUAAUGGUUGUCAGCGACCCGUCUUGAAACACGGACCAAGGAGUCUAACAUCUAUGCGAGUGUUUGGGUGUCAAACCCGGAACGCGGAAUGAAAGUGAACGGAGGUAGGAAGCUUCGGCUGCACUAUCGACCGAUCCUGAAGUUUACGGAUGGAUUUGAGUAAGAGCAUAGCUGUUGGGACCCGAAAGAUGGUGAACUAUGCCUGAAUAGGGUGAAGCCAGAGGAAACUCUGGUGGAGGCUCGCAGCGGUUCUGACGUGCAAAUCGAUCGUCAAAUUUAGGUAUAGGGGCGAAAGACUAAUCGAACCAUCUGGUAGCUGGUUCUGC
rnacentral:rRNA from 1 species